AGCGAAUGGAUUAAGAGCUUGCUCUUAUGAAGUUAGCGGCGGACGGGUGAGUAACACGUGGGUAACCUGCCCAUAAGACUGGGAUAACUCCGGGAAACCGGGGCUAAUACCGGAUAACAUUUUGCACCGCAUGGUGCGAAAUUCAAAGGCGGCUUCGGCUGUCACUUAUGGAUGGACCCGCGUCGCAUUAGCUAGUUGGUGAGGUAACGGCUCACCAAGGCAACGAUGCGUAGCCGACCUGAGAGGGUGAUCGGCCACACUGGGACUGAGACACGGCCCAGACUCCUACGGGAGGCAGCAGUAGGGAAUCUUCCGCAAUGGACGAAAGUCUGACGGAGCAACGCCGCGUGAGUGAUGAAGGCUUUCGGGUCGUAAAACUCUGUUGUUAGGGAAGAACAAGUGCUAGUUGAAUAAGCUGGCACCUUGACGGUACCUAACCAGAAAGCCACGGCUAACUACGUGCCAGCAGCCGCGGUAAUACGUAGGUGGCAAGCGUUAUCCGGAAUUAUUGGGCGUAAAGCGCGCGCAGGUGGUUUCUUAAGUCUGAUGUGAAAGCCCACGGCUCAACCGUGGAGGGUCAUUGGAAACUGGGAGACUUGAGUGCAGAAGAGGAAAGUGGAAUUCCAUGUGUAGCGGUGAAAUGCGUAGAGAUAUGGAGGAACACCAGUGGCGAAGGCGACUUUCUGGUCUGUAACUGACACUGAGGCGCGAAAGCGUGGGGAGCAAACAGGAUUAGAUACCCUG
rnacentral:rRNA from 1 species